CCUACGGGGGGCUGCAGUGGGGAAUAUUGGACAAUGGGGGGAACCCUGAUCCAGCCAUGCCGCGUGUGUGAAGAAGGCCCUCGGGUUGUAAAGCACUUUCAGUGAGGAAGAACGCCUGGUGGUUAAUACCCAUCAGGAAAGACAUCACUCACAGAAGAAGCACCGGCUAACUCCGUGCCAGCAGCCGCGGUAAUACGGAGGGUGCGAGCGUUAAUCGGAAUUACUGGGCGUAAAGCGCGCGUAGGUGGCUUGAUAAGCCGGUUGUGAAAGCCCCGGGCUCAACCUGGGAACGGCAUCCGGAACUGUCAAGCUAGAGUGCAGGAGAGGAAGGUAGAAUUCCCGGUGUAGCGGUGAAAUGCGUAGAGAUCGGGAGGAAUACAAGUGGCGAAGGCGGCCUUCUGGACUGACACUGACACUGAGGUGCGAAAGCGUGGGUAGCAAACAGGAUUAGAUACCCUGGUAGUC
rnacentral:rRNA from 1 species